rnacentral:rRNA from 1 species
AGCGAACGCUGGCGGCAGGCCUAACACAUGCAAGUCGAACGAACCCUUCGGGGUUAGUGGCGGACGGGUGAGUAACACGUGGGAACGUACCCUUAGGUUCGGAACAACUCAGGGAAACUUGAGCUAAUACCGAAUGUGCCCUUCGGGGGAAAGAUUUAUCGCCUUUGGAGCGGCCCGCGUGUGAUUAGCUAGUUGGUGAGGUAACGGCUCAACAAGGCUACGAUCACUAACUGGUCGGAGAGGAUGACCAGGCACACUGGGACUGAGACACGGCCUAGGCUCCGACGAGAGACAGCGUGGGGGAGUCUGACGCAAUGUACAGAAUACUAACGCAUGCAUGACUCGUUGAUGAUGAAGGUCUUAGGCUUGUACAAUCCUUUCACCGGUGAAGUUGUUGACUUUAGGCCGAAAAGAAGCCCCGGCUAAGUUCGUGCCAGCCGCCGCGGUGAUAC